rnacentral:rRNA from 1 species
CUACGGGGCGCAGCAGUGGGGAAUAUUGCACAAUGGAGGAAACUCUGAUGCAGCAACGCCGCGUGGAGGAUGACACUUUUCGGAGCGUAAACUCCUUUUAUAUAGGAAGAUAAUGACGGUACUAUAUGAAUAAGCACCGGCUAACUCCGUGCCAGCAGCCGCGGUAAUACGGAGGGCGCAAGCGUUACUCGGAAUCACUGGGCGUAAAGAGCGUGUAGGCGGGUUAAUAAGUCAGAAGUGAAAUCCUAUGGCUCAACCAUAGAACUGCUUUUGAAACUGUUAACCUAGAGUGUGGGAGAGGUAGAUGGAAUUUCUGGUGUAGGGGUAAAAUCCGUAGAGAUCAGAAGGAAUACCGAUUGCGAAGGCGAUCUACUGGAACAUAACUGACGCUGAGACGCGAAAGCGUGGGGAGCAAACAGGAUUAGAUACCCCAGUAGUC